GACGUAGGAGGCGAGCGUUAUCCGGAUUCACUGGGCGUAAAGCGCAUGUAGGCGGUUGCACAAGUCCGUUGUUAAGGCCCCUGGCUCAACUGGGGGAGGUCAAUGGAGACUGUGCGACUUGAGGGCAAUAGAGGCACGUGGAACUCCCGGUGUAGCGGUGGAAUGCGUAGAGAUCGGGAAGAACACCAGUGGCGAAGGCGACGUGCUGGGUUGCACCUGACGCUGAGAUGCGAAAGUGUGGGGAGCAAACGGG
rnacentral:rRNA from 1 species